UUAUUACAUUGUACUUAAAAUUAAUUAACCCAAAUUGGGGCCUUUGCACACCUGCUAUAUUACUGAACUGUGAAAGAAAUUAUACACCCCUCCCCCUAAGGGAAAAAAAGAAAGAAAUUUUUUUUUUUUUAAUUGCACAAUAUACUGCUAACACUGUGGAAAUAUAAUUUAUGUUAAGUAAAUUUUUGAAAAGCUGUUGACAUCUCUCAAACUAAAUGUUGAUGAGGGAACCCUUUUCAUAAGUCAUAUGCCAGUCAUUCAAAGUUAUGUUGGCUGAUUUGCCUAGAAUGUGUAAUUCAUUUGAUAUUGAAUUAUUCAUUACUUUAACAAGAAGUAAAUAAGCUUCUUUUUUUUAUAAGGUGGUCCAUAACACUACAGGGAGAUAACUCUGUAUAUAUCAGUUCAACGUUUCAUUACAUUCUAUUGUUCAAUCAUCAAAAUUUGUGUUUGUCAUAUCCAAUGAAAAUUUUUGCUAUAGUUUGGGUUCAGAUUUGAAUUUAUUAUAUUUUUAUCGAAGGGUCAAAGUAAAUAUUUUGUCAAAAUUUAAUGAAAAUUAAACUAGCCAAAUUAAUUUUAGUCGAGGUGUUUCAUACCACCUUUACAACAUUUUAACAUGUUGGGGCCUUUUAUAGAUGACUUUACAAUAUGAGUUUUGUUCAUUGUUGAAGUGGGAAUAGUUGCGAAAUUAGUGGACUCUUGUUGAUAGUUGUCUCAUUGACUAUCAGACCUUAUUUUUACAUUAUUCCUUAAAAAUUGAAAAAUAAAAUAAACUACUGCAUACUGUGGAUUCAUUUAUUUCCUGUGAAUCAAUUAUUGUGGAUUGCUGAAACCUUGCAUUUUCAUGGAUUUUUGAUUUUGUAGUUUUGCCAAUCCAUGCAUGAAAAGCUUGUUGAAAAUUAAUUAUUCAUUGAACAUAAGAAUUUGAGGUUCAUCUGUACCAACGAAACCCAAGAAAAUUGGUAUCCAACAAUAACAGUGAAUCCACAGUAUAUCCUAAAUAUUUUCUUCUGACUCAUUUUCCAUAUGGGGAGUGGGGUUAACAUGUUGAGAGGGGGGAACAAAGUUGUCUCAAAAACUGUUUUUGAGAUGAGAAAAUGACAGGUUGUGGUUUUUUUCCAGGUUUUCUUGCCUUUUAUUAUCAUCAAUGAUCUGGGUAAUAACUAUUGCAUUAUUGGUGCACAGUAAGGUUGUUCUGUAAUCAUAUAUUUUGUGUUAUGUUUUUGUACUAAAUUAUCCAUGUUCACCUAGUUUAGAAGUUGAGCUACUGAUUUGUUUCCUGUAAUUGCAAUAUGUUACAAUGGCUUGUACUUAGUGACGUUAGCGUCCACUAAAUAUGAUUGUUAACCUCAGAAUAAUUUGUGUUAUCAAAUAAAUUGUUAUUGAGCCAGAA
rnacentral:lncRNA from 1 species